CGGUUAGUGAGAGUUUGGAGACCGUUUGGAGGUUUAUGAGAGUGAGGAGAGAAAGUCAGGAGAGAAUGGAGCCAGCUAAGAAGAGGAGGAUGUCCUCCCCUGUGUGGGAACAUUUUGAUCUUAUUCCUCCCAACAAAGUGAAGUGUUUGCUAUGUGCCAGGCAGCUGGGCUAUAACAACAACACCUCAUCCAUGCUUAGGCACUACAGAGCUUUGCAUGAGAAUAAGGGGGACACCGAUUGUGGAGCAAGACCAGUAGGUGUCCUGCUAGAGCAAAUGAAGCUUCGAGAAGCUUUGCACUGGGAUGAACCAAUUGGAUGAAAAGCUUCAGUGCUUCAUGAAGCUUCAUCUGCCCAUCACUACAGAUCAACAUAGUAAAUGUUGUUCCAGGAUCAACACCAACACGGCGAUGUCAGAUCAUCUCUUUAGCUGUGUCCGAAUUCAGGGGAAGGAUCCUCCCGAGGACGUGUUUGGAGGAAAUGAUGUCACAGUGAAGUGACGAAGGCUGUCCGAAUUCAAAGAGCGCUCAAAAUGUGGCGACAAAUGCGUCCUACUUUUCCCCAAAUUUGAAGGAUGGGUCCGAUGUGUCCUUCGUGUCCUACCAGGAUUCAUUGCGGGCCGUACAGGAGACUUUCUGAUAACGAUGGUGGUCGGAGCGGGAGAGGAAAACACUUUCAAAUGACAAUUCUGGAGAAGAUGGGCCUGCAGGGGAAAGUCACCCCCUUGCAGGCCAGAAGACAUGAGAUAACUUUAAAGAAUACAAAGAUUGCAAGUAUCCAGGCUCAGGAGAGGGGUCAGUGGGUCCUGCUUGGCCCUGGUUUGCCCUCAUGGAUGAGGUGAUAGGACAGAUGCCUUCCACUAAGCCUCCUGUCCUAAUGUCCUCUCUCCCUGAGGACACUCCAGGGCCAAGCACAGCAGUGUGUGACCAAAACGACAGCGAUGACGAAGCGGCUCAGCCACCUACGACAGGGAGGAAGAGGAGAAGAGAUGAUGAGCUGCUGGAGCUCAUCAGAGAGGACAUGAGGCAGCAAAGAGAGGCUGAGGAGAGGAGAGCAGGGAGAGGAUGGACCGACUGUUUCACUUCUAGAAAGAUCAGUUCCCAAAUGAGUUACGUACUGAGAAAUUUAUUUAUUUGAAUAUAUUUGUUACAUUGUUAUGUGUUGCAUUAGUUUAAAGGUUUUAUGUUAUUAAUAAAUUGAUUCAAACAAACA
ensembl:lncRNA